rnacentral:misc_RNA from 1 species
GCGGUCUCUCCGCUAUGAGGACGCGGCCGAGCAUCGCCAUCAUUGUUGUGGAGGUGGUACUUGUCUUCACGCCGUGUCACUAACACCUGCCUACGUGUAGCUGUCAGUGUCGUGUGUUUGAAGAAUUGUGAAGUCUGACCAUCGCAUCUACAGCAUAUUGUAGUGUGACUGAGGAUAUUUGUAGUGCUGCAUAGCCAGAAUCACUCCAGAGUGAAAGAAACAAGUGUUGACAAAUUGAUCAAGCUGUCAUGAGGGCUGUUAUACAGAGGGUUCGACAAGCCUCUGUUUCAGGUGAAUCAAGUGGGAGAAGAUGUUAUAAGUUCCAUUGGAAGAGGCCUUUGUGUUCUGGUUGGCAUCCAUAAGAAUGACACUGAACAGGAUAUAGAAUACAUGCUAAGAUGUAAGCAGGGAACUUCAUUAUCAUUGAGAGCUUUACUAUUGGCAGUCAUGU